CAAGUCGAACGAUGAAGCCUUCGGGUGGAUUAGUGGCGAACGGGUGAGUAACACGUGGGCAAUCUGCCCUGCACUCUGGGACAAGCCCUGGAAACGGGGUCUAAUACCGGAUAACACUGUCCCCCUCCUGGGGGACGGUUGAAAGCUCCGGCGGUGCAGGAUGAGCCCGCGGCCUAUCAGCUUGUUGGUGGGGUAAUGGCCUACCAAGGCGACGACGGGUAGCCGGCCUGAGAGGGCGACCGGCCACACUGGGACUGAGACACGGCCCAGACUCCUACGGGAGGCAGCAGUGGGGAAUAUUGCACAAUGGGCGAAAGCCUGAUGCAGCGACGCCGCGUGAGGGAUGACGGCCUUCGGGUUGUAAACCUCUUUCAGCAGGGAAGAAGCGAAAGUGACGGUACCUGCAGAAGAAGCGCCGGCUAACUACGUGCCAGCAGCCGCGGUAAUACGUAGGGCGCAAGCGUUGUCCGGAAUUAUUGGGCGUAAAGAGCUCGUAGGCGGUCUGUCACGUCGGGUGUGA
rnacentral:rRNA from 2 species